rnacentral:rRNA from 1 species
AUACGGAUGGUGCGAGCGUUGUUCGGAAUUACUGGGCGUAAAGGGCGCGUAGGCGGCGAUGUAAGUCAAAUGUGAAAGUCCUUGGCUUAACCGGGGAAGUGCAUCUGAAACUGCAUUGCUUGAGUAUGGGAGAGGAAAGUGGAAUUCCCGGUGUAGAGGUGAAAUUCGUAGAGAUCUGGAAGAAUACCGGUGGCGAAGGCGACUUUCUGGACCAAUACUGACGCUGAGGCGCGAAAGCGUGGGGAGCAAACAGGAUUAGAAACCCUUGUAGUCC